rnacentral:rRNA from 1 species
GACGAACGCUGGCGGCGUGCCUAACACAUGCAAGUCGAACGGAGAGGCUUGACAGAACACUUCGGUGGGACGUACAAGUUUUCUUAGUGGCGGACGGGUGAGUAACGCGUGAGCAACCUGCCUUUGAGAGGGGAAUAACAGUUGGAAACGGCUGCCUAAUACCGCAUAAAGUCAGAAAGACGCAUGUUUUCUGACCAAAGAUUUAUCGCUCAAAGAUGGGCUCGCGUCUGAUUAGAUAGUUGGUGAGGUAACGGCCCACCAAGUCGACGAUCAGUAGCCGGACUGAGAGGUUGAACGGCCACAUUGGGACUGAGACACGGCCCAGACUCCUACGGGAGGCAGCAGUGGGGAAUAUUGCACAAUGGGCGCAAGCCUGAUGCAGCAACGCCGCGUGCGGGAAGACGGCCUUCGGGUUGUAAAACCGCUGUCCUUGGUGAAGAAAGAAAUGACGGUAACCAUGGAGGAAGCCACGGCUAACUACGUG